CCCUCUAUCUAGCAGGUAGUUUGAGGGGACUAUGGGAAGGAGACAAAUAUCAUACAUUUGGAUUAUCAUCUUUAUUUGCUUCACUUGCCCUCUUUUUUGAGUAAAGGAGUUAAGGACAUGCUUCUAUACAAUGAAAAACAAACUAAAAUUAUUCAGAGAGUUAACCUAACUUUUUACCCUUCCCCAAUGAGACAUACAAAUGAGAGCUUGCAUUUCUUGGCCAGAUCCGUUGAAUUUAAAUUUUCCAUUAACAUAUAAUAGGUUUAGACUAUAAAUCCCUUUGAGCGUGGGAAUCAGUGAGGAAAAACGACACUCUGUAAGCUAUUGCUCAAAUAAGCUCAAACAUUUAUUUUAGAACAUACCGUGCCUGUAAAGAGAAAGAUAAUACAUUUUAUGUGUGUCAAUUUUUUAAAAAAAAAACAGCAAGAUUUUUUAAAAGCCAUUUUAUCUCUGAGAGAUUCAAUGACCAUAUUUGAUGACAAGCCAGAUGGCAGCAUUCUCUAGACCCGGUGCCAAGACGCAUGACAGGAGUCGCAAUUUACCUUCCGUGGUGAGGCUAGCUGCUGAAGCACACCACAGCUGCGGGCGAGCGGGCUGCUGCCGGUAGGUGCAAGCACAGUUGGUUCCCUCCCAACUUGGAUGCAGCAGGGCACGUUGCAGCCUCUUGUGCUGAGGACCACUGGAGAGCACUCAACACUACCAAUGCUCGGAAGCCAUUCUAAACAGCACAACACCAACAAAAAGUACAAAAAUGAAAAAACAACGUGGCAUUAAAUAGACUGCGAAAAGGACACAUGUCUACAGCAGAGAGCUGAAAGAAGGUGGAGUGCCACAUUGUUCCAUGCCAAUUGGAAUGAUGUGCAGAGGGAGAGGGGGGUGAACACGUUCAUAAAUCAUGGUGGAAGCACUGCAAGGGCGUUGGUCAUGGAGUUACAAAUAAAUAUUAGGGACUAGGUGAAUUUGAAAAUAUAGAAACCUUGAAUAACGAGGAUCAAUGGAAUUUGCAUUAUGCUGUGAGCUUAAUUCCACUGUCACCCACAUUAAUAAAUAAGCCAUGUUCUAUCUAGAACAGAGGCUUGAGUAGUCCCAAG